UGGGGAAUUUUGGACAAUGGGCGAAAGCCUGAUCCAGCAAUGCCGCGUGUGUGAAGAAGGCCUUCGGGUUGUAAAGCACUUUUGUCCGGAAAGAAAUCCUUGGCUCUAAUACAGUCGGGGGAUGACGGUACCGGAAGAAUAAGCACCGGCUAACUACGUGCCAGCAGCCGCGGUAAUACGUAGGGUGCAAGCGUUAAUCGGAAUUACUGGGCGUAAAGCGUGCGCAGGCGGUUUGCUAAGACCGAUGUGAAAUCCCCGGGCUCAACCUGGGAACUGCAUUGGUGACUGGCAGGCUAGAGUAUGGCAGAGGGGGGUAGAAUUCCACGUGUAGCAGUGAAAUGCGUAGAGAUGUGGAGGAAUACCGAUGGCGAAGGCAGCCCCCUGGGCCAAAUACUGACGCUCAUGCACGAAAGCGUGGGGGAGCAAACAGGAUUAGAUACCCUGGUAGUCCAGCGCCCUAAACGAUGUCAACUAGUUGUUGGGGACUUCAUUUCCUUAGUAACGUAGCUAACGCGUGAAGUUGACCGCCUGGGGAGUACGGUCGCAAGAUUAAAACUC
rnacentral:rRNA from 1 species